rfam:Acidianus hospitalis W1, complete genome.
AUAGAUGAUGUGGAAUCCGGGAACAGAUUGGUGAAGAUACGCGCGAACUCUGAAU